rnacentral:rRNA from 1 species
AGAGUUUGAUCCUGGCUCAGAACGAACACUGGCGGCAUGGAUUAGGCAUGCAAGUCGAACGAGAAAGCUCCCUUCGGGGAGCGAGUACAGUGGCGAACGGGUGAGUAACGGGUGGAAAACCUGCCCUUCAAUGGGGGAUAACAGUUCUAACGAGCUGCUAAUACCGCAUACGACCUUUGGUCCGCAUGUUCCAAAGGUGAAAGGUGGCCUCUCUUUGAAGCUGCCGUUGAAGGAUGGUUCCGCCUCCCAUUAGCUUGUUGGUGGGGUAAUGGCCUACCAAGGCGACGAUGGGUAGCCGGCCUGAGAGGGUGUCCGGCCACACUGGGACUGAGAUACGGCCCAGACUCCUACGGGAGGCAGCAGUCGAGAAGCUUCGGCAAUGGGCGAAAGCCUGACCGAGCGAUGCCGCGUGAGUGAAGAAGGCCCUAUGGGUUGUAAAGCUCUGUCAGAUUGGGAAGAAAAUCCUACGGUUAAUACCCGUGGGACUUGACGGUACCAUCAGAGGAAGCACCGGCUAACUCCGUGCCAGCAGCCGCGGUAAUACGGAGGGUGCAAGCGUUGUUCGGAUUCACUGGGUAUAAAGGGUGCGCAGGCGGCUUGAUAAGUCAGGGGUGAAAUAUGACGGCUUAACCGUCAAACUGCCCCUGAAACUGUCAGGCUUGAGUUCGAGAGAGGUAGGUGGAAUUCCAGGUGUAGCGGUGAAAUGCGUAAAUAUCUGGAGGAACACCGGUGGCGAAGGCGGCCUACUGGCUCGAUACUGACGCUCAGGCACGAAAGCAUGGGGAGCGAACGGGAUUAGAUACCCCGGUAGUCCAUGCCGUAAACGAUGGGUACUAGGUGUUGGAGGAUUCUACCCCUUCAGUGCCGCAGCUAACGCAUUAAGUACCCCACCUGGGGAGUACGAUCGCAAGGUUGAAACUCAAAGGAAUUGACGGGGGCCCGCACAAGCGGUGGAGCAUGUGGUUUAAUUCGAU